rnacentral:ncRNA from 1 species
AGUCGGGUUGUUUGGGAAUGCAGCCCAAAAUGGGUGGUAAACUCCAUCUAAAGCUAAAUAUUGGCACGAGACCGAUAGCGAACAAGUACCGUGAGGGAAAGAUGAAAAGCACUUUGAAAAGAGAGUUAAAAAGUACGUGAAACCGUUAAAAGGGAAACGAAUGGGGUUAGCAAUGCGUCGUGCGAGAUUCAGCCGGUGGGUGGGCCAGGCGGGCGGUUGGCGGAUCUGAAUGGACCGCUGCCGUUCGGGUUGGUUUCCCGACCGUCGCACUUCUCGCAGGCGCGCGCCAACGUCGGUUAGGGCUGGGUCUCAAAGGCGGUGGAAAGGUAGGUUUGGACUCUCGGGCCCGAACUGUUACAGUCCUCCGUUCGUCAUGGCCCGGACCUGACCGAGGAGCUUGCGGUGCAUGCCCUUUCGGCUAGGGUCCCGUCUUCCCGGUCGGUCGUCGAAUGCGGUGGACUGCGUGCAGUGCGCCGCGACUGCUGCCGGUCGCGAGGGCGGUGAUUUCGUACUAUGCACCCACGACGUUGGCGGUCUAAAAGAGCCUGGCGCGAGCGCGGGAAACCUUUUGAUAAUCUAUAACGUUAGGGUCUUGGCUGGUUUCAAAAUUACGGUCAGCAUAAUCGCUGUAAAACAUUAAUUCCUGUAUGUCUACGUGUAAAUUCUCGACGUGCACUGUUCAAAGAAAGGAAAACAAAUGAAGCGGCGGACUCCCAAAUAUGGUAUGUAAUUCAAAAUAAGGAAUUGGCUGAGCAAGCGAGAAAAACUACAAUUUUCAAAACAAAAUUGUUUGAUAUGACUAUGAUUUUUAGUUCCAGCCAAUCUCGUUCCCAGAGCCCACAUACAUGCUGCUGCUCAAAAGGUAAGAGACUUUGGAAUGAGGCAGAGUUCCAUUCCAACUACAAUAAUGAUUGCGUAUGUGCAGUGUCCAACUUGAAGACGGACUCGUAAUCAUUGGCUAAAGUUGGAGGUAGAGAAGGAAGAAAGAAAGGAGGACCUUACAAAGAAGGCACCAGAAGGCUUCUGAUCUGGUGGACGGAAUUUUUCAGUUGUGCGCUAUGCUAAUAACAGGGUUUUUUUCAAAUCACAUUUGUUGCACAAAUUUUCUCCGUCCUACAUCCACAUCACCAUA